rnacentral:lncRNA from 1 species
UUUUUAGGCGAAGUAUUUCUUGAAUGCAUCUGCGUUCACAGGACGAGUGAAAAGGCUCUCUUAGCAACAUACGGGCCUUCAUAAUUAGGAGUCCAUUUUCCCUAGAAUCUGCUUUGAAUGAUAAAAUCUUCUUGAGCACAAGGUUACCUUCCCUGAAUACACGAGGUCUGACCUUCUUAUCAAAAGCUUUCUUCAUCCUCUGUUGAUAUAACUGACCAUGACACAUGGCAGUCAAUCGCUUCUCUUCAAUCAAAUUCAACUGGUCAAACCUAGUCUGAU